GUGCUUAUCAUGAUCCAAAUCCUGCAAAAGAAAUUCUAGACUAAUUCAGCCUAUAUAUGCAAAGGCAAGGCCAAAUAGAAGAGAAGUUCCAAAAAAAAUUGAAAUUGAAACAGCAAAGCAAACCCAACCAAACGUAAAAAAAUUAAACAAAUAAACAAAUUCCAAAGGCCAACGGCGACAAAUUCUCCAUACAAAUAAAAGGUCAUAGCUUUAAUAUGUGUACAUGAGCCUAUUUAGGCAUAAAGAGAGACUCCAAUCUCUAACUUUGGCUUUAAACAGCAUUUAGAAAUUCUUAAUCCUGACCAAUGAUUCCACUUGUCAAAGUCAAAUUGACUGAAGAGAAAAGACUUGUU
rnacentral:misc_RNA from 1 species